rnacentral:rRNA from 1 species
GACGAACGCUGGCGGCGUGCUUAACACAUGCAAGUCGAACGGAAAGGCCCUGCUUGCAGGGUGCUCGAGUGGCGAACGGGUGAGUAACACGUGGGUGAUCUGCCCCUUAUUUUGGGAUAAGCCUGGGAAACUGGGUCUAAUACUGGAUAGGACCAUGCUGUAGGUGGUGUGGUGGAAAGAUUAGUUUCGGUAAGGGAUGAGCUCGCGGCCUAUCAGCUUGUUGGUGGGGUAAUGGCCUACCAAGGCGUCGACGGGUAGCCGGCCUGAGAGGGUGGACGGCCACAUUGGGACUGAGAUACGGUCCAGACUCCUACGGGAGGCAGCAGUGGGGAAUAUUGCACAAUGGGCGCAAGCCUGAUGCAGCGACGCCGCGUGGGGGAUGACGGCCUUCGGGUUGUAAACUCCUUUCAGCCAUGACGAAGCCCUUGUGGUGACGGUAGUGGUAGAAGAAGCACCGGCUAACUACGUG